GGAGAGUGUGUGCUUUGGAUUCAAGAUUGGGAAUGAGUAGACCAGAAAUCUAUUCUGUGGCUGUUUCUUGCUAGGAUUUUCCUAAGCCUCUGGAAAAGCGCAAAGUACAAUUAACAUUUGAGUCUGUCUGAGUCAUGAAGAAAUGGAGAUUACUCUUAUUACUGAAAAUAAUCCAUUUUGGUGUCUUCUUACAUCCUGAGAGCCUAAUCUUUCCAAGUUCAUCUAAGGCUCCUCUUCUCCAUGACAACCUCAUCCAGGGAUUUCUUCCUGUCCUGGUGUUUUAUGACAUGUGGAAGGGGACUGUAGCAGGUGGUCUCCAAAGUCUCUGGAGACUUACUAAUGUGCAUCCUCAUCUCUGUUGUAAGGAUAAUAGCCUUCCUCCAAACCGCACACACUUUUGGAGGAGCUCACUUUUUUUUUUUUUUUUAAUGCAUGGAAAUGUUUUGGAACAGUGAAAUCUAUAAUGAUAGGUUUCAUAAUUCUAACAUCCACACCAUCUGAAUCACAUCCUUCCUGAGAUAAUGAGCACACAAUUGCCUGGAUACCUGAAGGAAUGGAGACAGCAGCAGAAAACACUGCAGAGAGGUGGAAACAUCCGUUAAUAUUUUAAAAUCCCAUUACUGCUACCAACAAUAAUAAUGGAUGCAUAGAAAUAGAUCUGGAUUCACUGAGCUUAAAACAGUCCAUCUCACACACACACAAAAUAAUUUCAGAUACAGUGAACCCAGAUGUUGAAGCUUUCUAGUAUAAUAACAAUUUCAACUCUUCUGUUGAAUCAUCUGUCCUGAUUGGAGGCUACAGAAAAGAUGUCAUUUUAGGACUGCUUGCUCUGAGUGAGGCUCAUCUUCAAAUCUGAAUGACCACAAGGAGAUUUGAUUAUACAUGUGAACACCUCAGAAGGCACAGCCCGCCCAGAAGGCAGACAG